rnacentral:rRNA from 1 species
GAUGAACGCUGGCGGCGUGCUUAACACAUGCAAGUCGAACGAAGCACUUUAUUUGAUUUCCUUCGGGACUGAUUAUUUUGUGACUGAGUGGCGGACGGGUGAGUAACGCGUGGGUAACCUGCCUUGUACGGGGGGAUAACCGUUGGAAACGGCUGCUAAUACCGCAUAAGGGCACAGCAUCGCAUGAUGCAGUGUGAAAACCUCCGGUGGUAUAAGAUGGACCCGCGUUGGUUUACCGGGUUGGGGAGGGAACGGCCCACCAAGGCGACGAUCCAUAGCCGACCUGAGAGGGAGGCCGGCCACAGUGGGACUGAGACACGGCCCAAACUCCUACGGGAUGCAGCAGUGGGGAAUAUUGCACAAUGGGCGAAAGCCUGAUGCAGCGACGCCGCGUGAGCGAAGAAGUAUUUCGGUAUGUAAAGCUCUAUCAGCAGGGAAGAUAAUGACGGUACCUGACUAAGAAGAACCGGCUAAAUACGUG